UCAAGUGAAUAAGAGCAUAUGGUGGAUGCCUUGGCGAUGAUAGGCGACGAAAGACGUGAUAGCCUGCGAAAAGCUUCGGGGAGCUGGCAAAUAAGCUUUGAUCCGGAGGUGUCUGAAUGGGGAAACCCACCCUUAGGGGUAUCCUGAGCUGAAUACAUAGGCUCAGGAGGCGAACCGGGUGAACUGAAACAUCUCAGUAGCUCGAGGAAAAGAAAUCAACCGAGAUUCCGAUAGUAGUGGCGAGCGAAAUCGGAAGAGCCUGUUAGUGAUAGCACGAUGUUUAACGGAACGACUUGGAAAGGUCGGCCAUAGCGGGUGAUAGCCCCGUACGUGAAAAGCAACGUGUGGUACUGAGUUAACGACAAGUAGGGCGGGACACGUGUAAUCCUGUCUGAAUAUGGGGGGACCAUCCUCCAAGGCUAAAUACUCAUCAUCGACCGAUAGUGAACAAGUACCGUGAGGGAAAGGCGAAAAGAACCCCGGGAGGGGAGUGAAAUAGAUCCUGAAACCGUAUGCUUACAAAAAGUAGGAGCCUCGUAAGGGGUGACUGCGUACCUUUUGUAUAAUGGGUCAGCGACUUACAUUCAGUGGCAAGCUUAACCGAAUAGGGAAGGCGUAGGGAAACCGAGUCCGAAUAGGGCGAUUCAGUCGCUGGGUGUAGACCCGAAACCAAGUGAUCUAUCCAUGGCCAGGAUGAAGGUGCCGUAACAGGUACUGGAGGUCCGAACCGACUAAUGUUGCAAAAUUAGCGGAUGAGCUGUGGAUAGGGGUGAAAGGCUAAACAAACUUGGAGAUAGCUGGUUCUCUCCGAAAACUAUUUAGGUAGUGCCUCAAGUAUUACCUGCGGGGGUAGAGCACUGUUUUGGCUAGGGGGUCAUGGCGACUUACCAAACCAAGGCAAACUCCGAAUACCGCAGAGUACAGCUUGGGAGACAGAGCACCGGGUGCUAACGUCCGGACUCAAGAGGGAAACAACCCAGACCGCCAGCUAAGGUCCCUAAAAUUGGCUAAGUGGGAAACGAAGUGGGAAGGCUAAAACAGUCAGGAUGUUGGCUUAGAAGCAGCCAUCAUUUAAAGAAAGCGUAAUAGCUCACUGAUCGAGUCGUCCUGCGCGGAAGAUGUAACGGGGCUAAGCCAGUUACCGAAGCUGCGGAUUUGCAAUUUAUUGCAAGUGGUAGGAGAGCGUUCUGUAAGCCUGUGAAGGUGUCUUGUGAAGGAUGCUGGAGGUAUCAGAAGUGCGAAUGCUGACAUGAGUAGCGUUAAAGGGGGUGAAAAGCCCCCUCGCCGUAAGCGCAAGGUUUCCUACGCAACGUUCAUCGGCGUAGGGUGAGUCGGCCCCUAAGGUGAGGCAGAGAUGCGUAGCUGAUGGGAAACAGGUUAAUAUUCCUGUACCGAUUACAAGUGCGAUGUGGGGACGGAGAAGGUUAGCUCAGCCAACUGUUGGAUAUGUUGGUUCAAGCCUGUAGUCAUGCCUGGUAGGCAAAUCCGCCGGGCUAAGAUGAGGGGUGAUAACGAGUGUGCUUGCACACGAAGUGAGUGAUACCCUGCUUCCAGGAAAAGCCACUAAGCUUCAGCUUGUAACGACCGUACCGCAAACCGACACUGGUGCGCGAGAUGAGUAUUCUAAGGCGCUUGAGAGAACUCUGGAGAAGGAACUCGGCAAAUUGACACCGUAACUUCGGGAGAAGGUGUGCCCUCAGUAGGUGAACCUGUACAAGGGGAGCCCAAAGGGGUUGCAAAGAAUAGGUGGCUGCGACUGUUUAUUAAAAACACAGCACUCUGCAAACACGAAAGUGGACGUAUAGGGUGUGACGCCUGCCCGGUGCUGGAAGAUUAAUUGAUGGGGUGCAAGCUCUUGAUCGAAGUCCCAGUAAACGGCGGCCGUAACUAUAACGGUCCUAAGGUAGCGAAAUUCCUUGUCGGGU
rnacentral:rRNA from 1 species